GACGGGGAAAGGGGUAGAGAGCGAGACGGGGAAAGGGGUAGAGAGAGAGCGAGACGGGGAAAGGGGUAGAGAGCGAGACGGGGAAAGGGGUAGAGAGAGAGCGAGACGGGGAAAGGGGUAGAGAGAGAGCGAGACGGGGAAAGGGGUAGAGCGAGACGGGGAAAGGGGGAGAGCGAGAGAGAGCGAGAGAAAGGGAGAGCGAGAGAGAGCGAGCAAAAGGGAGAGAGAGCGAGCGAGAGAAAGGGAGAGAGCGAGAGAAAGGGAGAACGAGAGAGGGAAAGGCGAGAGGAGAAAGAGGGAAAGGGGGAGAGAGAAAGAGAGCGAGGGCGAGAGAAAGUAGAGAGAGGAGAGGGAAAGGGGGAGAGAGAGAAAAGAGCGGGAGAGAGGGGAUGGGGAGAGGGGAAGAAGAUCGAGGGGAAGGGAGAGAGCGAGAGAAAGGGAAAGAGGGAAAGGGAGAGAGGACGAGAGAAAGGGAGAGCGAGCGAGAGAAAGGGAGAGCGAGCGAGAGACAGGGGGAGAGAGCGAGAGACAGGGGGAGAGACAGGGCAAGGGGGAAAGGGAGAGGAGAGCGAGGGAAAAGGAGAGGAGAGAGAGCGAGGGAAAAGGAGAGGAGAGAGAGAGAAAGGAGCGAGAGAGCGAGACGAGCGAGAGAGAGAAAGGAGAGCGAGAGAGCGAGAGAAAGGGAGAGCGAGAGAGAGCGAGCAAAAAGGGAGAGAGAGCGAGCGAGAGAAAGGGAGAGAGCGAGAGAAAGGGAGAACGAGAGAGGGAAAGGCGAGAGGAGAAAGAGGGAAAGGGGGAGAGAGAAAGAGAGCGAG
rnacentral:lncRNA from 1 species